rnacentral:rRNA from 1 species
UACGUAGGUGGCAAGCGUUGUCCGGAAUCAUUGGGCGUAAAGAGCGCGUAGGUGGCUUGCCAGGUCUGAUGUGAAAACUUGGGGCUCAACCCUAAGCCUGCAUCAGAAACCGGCUUGCUAGAGUCUGGGAGAGGAGAGUGGAAUUCCUGGUGUAGCGGUGAAAUGCGUAGAUAUCAGGAGGAACACCGGUAGCGAAGGCGGCUCUCUGGAACAGCACUGACACUGAGGCGCGAAAGCUAGGGGAGCGAACAGGAUUAGAUACCCUGGUAGUCCUAGCCGUAAACGAUGGACACUAGGUGUCGGGGGUGUCGACUCCCUCGGUGCCGAAGCUAACGCAUUAAGUGUCCCGCCUGGGGAGUACGGCCGCAAGGCUAAA